rnacentral:rRNA from 1 species
AACGUAGGGGGCGAGCGUUGCCCGGAUUCACUGGGCGUAAAGCGCGUGUAGGCGGUUCAUCAAGUCGGGUGUGAAAUCCUGCGGCUCAACCGCGGAACUGCACCCGAUACUGGUGGACUUGAGGACGGUAGAGGUCGGUGGAAUUCCCGGUGUACCGGUGAAAUGGGCAGAUAUCGGGAGGAACACCAGUGGCGAAGGCGGCCGACUGGGCCGAUCCUGACGCUGAGACGCGAAAGCCAGGGGAGCGAACCGG